rnacentral:rRNA from 1 species
UACGAAGGGGGCUAGCGUUGCUCGGAAUCACUGGGCGUAAAGGGCGCGUAGGCGGCUUGACAAGUCAAAGGUGAAAUCCCUCGGCUCAACUGAGGAACUGCCUUUGAAACUGUCUGGCUUGAGGCCGGGAGGGGGUAGCGGAAUUCCCAGUGUAGCGGUGAAAUGCGUAGAUAUUGGGAGGAACACCAGUGGCGAAGGCGGCUACCUGGACCGGUUCUGACGCUGAUGCGCGAAAGCGUGGGUAGCAAACAGG